GACGAACGCUGGCGGCGUGCUUACCACAUGCAAGUCGAACGGAAAGGCCCUGCUUUUGUGGGGUGCUCGAGUGGCGAACGGGUGAGUAACACGUGAGUAACCUGCCCUUGACUUUGGGAUAACUUCAGGAAACUGGGGCUAAUACCGGAUAGGAGCUCCUGCUGCAUGGUGGGGGUUGGAAAGUUUCGGCGGUUGGGGAUGGACUCGCGGCUUAUCAGCUUGUUGGUGGGGUAGUGGCUUACCAAGGCUUUGACGGGUAGCCGGCCUGAGAGGGUGACCGGCCACAUUGGGACUGAGAUACGGCCCAGACUCCUACGGGCGGCAGCAGUGGGUAAUAUUGCAGAAUGGGCGGAAGCCUGAUGCAGCAACGCCGCGUGCGGGAGGACGGCCUUCGGGGUGUAAACCGCUUUCGCCGGUGAAGAAGCGUGAGUGAAGGUAAUGGGUAAAGAAGCACCGGCUAACUACUUG
rnacentral:rRNA from 1 species